rnacentral:rRNA from 1 species
GGGGAAUUUUGCGCAAUGGGCGAAAGCCUGACGGAGCGACGCCGGGGGGGGGAAUGAGGUUUUCGGAACGUAAACCUCUGUUAGAAGGGAAGAAAACGGCCCCUUCUAAUCCACGGGGGCCUUAAGGUUACUUCAAAAGAAACACCCGGUAACUCCCUGCCAGCAGCCGCGGUAAUACCGGAGGGGCAAGCGUUAAUCGGAAUUACUGGGCGUAAAGCGCACGUAGGCUGCUUUGUAAGUCAGGGGUGAAAUCCCACGGCUCAACCGUGGAACUGCCUUUGAUACUGCUUAGCUUGAAUCCGGGAGAGGGUGGCGGAAUUCCAGGUGUAGGAGUGAAAUCCGUAGAUAUCUGGAGGAACAUCAGUGGCGAAGGCGGCCACCUGGACCGGUAUUGACGCUGAGGUGCGAAAGCGUGGGGAGCAAACA